rnacentral:rRNA from 1 species
GACGAACGCUGGCGGCGUGCUUAACACAUGCAAGUCGAACGGAAAGGCCCUGCUUUUGUGGGGUGCUCGAGUGGCGAACGGGUGAGUAACACGUGAGUAACCUGCCCUUGACUUUGGGAUAACUUCAGGAAACUGGGGCUAAUACCGGAUAGGAGCUCCUGCUGCAUGGUGGGGGUUGGAAAGUUUCGGCGGUUGGGGAUGGACUCGCGGCUUAUCAGCUUGUUGGUGGGGUAGUGGCUUACCAAGGCUUUGACGGGUAGCCGGCCUGAGAGGGUAACCGGCCACAUUGGGACUGAGAUACGGCCCAGACUCCUACGGGAGGCAGCAGUGGGGAAUAUUGCACAAUGGGCGGAAGCCUGAUGCAGCAACGCCGCGUGCGGGAUGACGGCCUUCGGGUUAUAAACCGCUUUCGCCUGUGACGAAGCGUGAGUGACGGUAAUGGGUAAAGAAGCACCGGCUAACUACGUG